UACGUAGGUGGCAAGCGUUGUCCGGAUUUACUGGGCGUAAAGAGCGCGCAGGCGGCCGAGCAAGUCGAGUGUGAAAGCCCCGAGCUUAACUUGGGAACUGCGCUCGAAACUACUUGGCUAGAGUGUGGCAGAGGGAGGUGGAAUUCCACGUGUAGCGGCGAAAUGCGUAGAGAUGUGGAGGAACACCGAUGGCGAAGGCAGCCUCCUGGGCCAACACUGACGCUCAUGCACGAAAGCGUGGGGAGCAAACAGG
rnacentral:rRNA from 1 species